GAAGGAGACACAUUUGUGCAAUAUUUAGGAAGCAAAAUUGUAGAGCAGGAAUGGAUCUGAAGUCAAUGAAAAACUCUUCAUAGCUCUAGUUGUUGGGCUUCCCCAGAAGAUGACAUUGAAAGGAAGGUUUGGAUGCAAGUUGUUCAUUUAGGAGGAGAUCUCAGGAAGCACAAAGUAUUUCCUUGAGUCAGGACCUCCAAGUCCUCCCCUAACUCCAGGUAUGCUGGGUGCUGGAGAGAGCCCUGGACUUGGAGUCAAAAGACUGCAGUUGGAGCAGAGGAUCUUCCCUCAGAAGUUCUGCUGUGGGCUGAGUCGUUUCACCUCUCUGGGCCCCAGAUGGACCUUUGUAAAACUGAGUGGAGGCGAGGAGGUGCAGCAGGUCCAUAAAUUCAUCAGCUUCCCAGGCUGCUUCCACCUUUGCUACAUGUGGCCUCAUCCUUACAGCCCAAGAUGGCUCCUAGGGCUCUAGCCAUCACAUGCUGGUACCAGAGAGCAAGAUGACUGAAGGGGAGGAAAGAGAGCAUGUGCUUGUCUCGUGAAGAGAUUUCCUGGAAGUUACACAAAACAUUUCUGUUUUCAGCUUGUUGACUAGAACAUAGUCGUCUGUCAUACUUAGUGUGGAGGGUGACCAAAGAGGGAGUGUUUUGUCUGAAUAGCAUUGCAUCCAGCCAGAUAGCGAGGGCAAGUAGCUGGAGGGAAGAGGAAGACAGACAUUGUAGAGGAAGCUAGCAGUGACUCCCCCCCAGAUUAUAUCCUAUUAAUAAAAGUAAGAACCUAAUUUAUGCCAUGUGCCUGGGCCUCACAGGGCCAUCACACCUCCAUGAAACAAAGUGCUUGGCCUCACUCUGGUUUGCUUUUGUCAUCUCUGAAACAAGGAGGUUUUACUUCCCCAUGUUUCCCAAAUGUCCAUCAUUCAAAUAAUGCUUCUGCUGUG
rnacentral:lncRNA from 10 species